UGUCAUUUUAAUGACCAAAUAAAAAGCAAUUUUUGAGUUCUUUAUAUCAAAGAGAGACGCCAUUAUUUUUGUAAUAUUUGCGAGGAAAUGCUUGUAUAAUCGUUAGAUGAAGAACCGCUGAACGGAACACUUGAACACCAAAAAAUUUAAGAAGCAUCAGUUGUCACUAGUAAAGUAACACAUUCUUUUAAAACUUUUAUUUAUUCCUAGGGUAAAAAAAAACAGCUGCAAUGGAAGGAAUAUUAGCAAAUCAUCCCAUAAUUCAUAAAGAAAGUUUUAGAAGCUUGGGUUGCACAAAUGCUCCAAGAAGACCUAACGGAUUUCUCACAGAACACAGUAGAAGUGCAUUUAACCAGAAAGUUCAUGCCUUUAAAGAACAUUGAAUAGAAGGAUGAUAUGAAAACAGCAUAUUUUGCUCAUCAGGUUUUAUUAAUAAAGAUUCAUAAAUCUGUUUAUCUACAUCUAUUUGUAAACAUCAAAAAAAAAAAAAAAAAAUUGUUUGACUCUUUUUUCUCUGAAUUCACAUUAGGUUAUUGGGUUUAAAUUUUUAAGUUUUAAUGCAAUUAUGUAAAAAUUUUAGAAAAGUUUUAGAAAACUAAUAACUGACUUAGUAGAAAAAUCAACAACUUUUAAAGAAAAAUGAAGAAAGUAAAAAAAUCCAAAGUAGCAAAAUUAGCCAAAAAUAUCUUUUAAAAAAGUUAUUUGGAUUGGAAAAACUUAAAAUUACUGUUGCAAAGAUGAAGAAUGGAAACAGCUGAUUAACUGAUAUGCAAUUACUUAGUUCAUAAUUAUAAUAUUUUAAUUGCUUCUGUAUGAAACUAAUUAUUUCAAAAUCAUGAUUCAGUUAAAGCGCUUUAACCUCCCACCCUUUUCUUCCUCUUAUCCUGGAAACGUUUAGAACAUUGCCAAAAAAUAAAUAAAAUAGAAGAAAGAUAGCCAUGUUUAUUAUGUUAUAAAGAAGCAACAAAGGAUUCAACUGAACUUUUAUUACUUUAUAAGAAACAACAAAAAAAUCAAACUUAAAUUUCAUUAUUUGAAAAAAGUAGAGAGACUUUCUGCUAGGAUUCCAACAAUUUAGCAGACAAAAUUAAAUUAGGUGCUUUAGCAAGAUUGUUAUACAUUUGUAAAAGUAGAAUUUACAGGGGUUUUAAGUGUUUCAUUCAAAAAAAGUAUGCAUUUGUUAUCUGACAAAAUGGUUCUGGUGGAAUUUCUCACUGUCUACCAUUGAAUCUAUUAUUAGACAUGCAAAUAAGUUAUCUAUUGAAUUACAGUUAGCAUGUUAAAGAUAUGGUUACAAAUUUCACUGUAAAGAUUUUUGGACAACUUUACAUUGAGAAAACUUAACUUUACUCCUAAAAAUCUCAUGUUUAAAGAGUUUCAAAUAAAUUAGAAUGCAAUAAAGGAUUCCAUAGAUAAGUCAAAGAUUUCAAAGUUUGAUAAAGCUGCAAAUAAUAAAAUAAGUUUAAAAAACAGAUUAAAAAAACUAUUCUAUUUUGAAAACAACCACUUGCUUAUCUACUCAUUUUAAGAGAUAACUUUAACUAGAAAAACUUAAACUCAUUAACUUUAGGCAAAUAUAAAUUUUGAAGUUCGUGCUUCAUCUGAUUCUCCAACACAUUUAAUUACAAAGUUUUUAUAUUAUUUGCAUAUCCGAGUUUUAAGUAAUUGCCUGUUAUAACAAUUGACAGCUGGUUUACAAAAAAAAAAAAAAAAAAAAAAAUCAGCAGAAUGGCAAAAAUUAAUAUUCUAUUUGUGAUUCUUUUUACUUUCUGCACAUUUUUAAGACAUCAAAACAUACUGACAGAUGGAACUGUAUAGAAAGUGAAAGAGCCUAAUAACCCAAGAACUAAAGAUGUGCUAUAGAGGAACAUUAAAAUCAAUAGAGAAACAUAUAGAGUAUUUAGAUAAAACCUUGGUGCUAUUAUUUCUCGCAGAUCCAGAACUUGGAGAUAACAAGUAAAAAAAAUUCCCUUAGUCAAAAACUAUUUUCUAUUAAUUUGUUUUUAGACAUCAUGAAAAGUCUGAAAAUUUAAAUCUCCUAAAUGACCUAGACUUUACUUUUUUGGUCGGUAAUAAAAAGCUAAAUAAAAGCACAAAUAAAUUAACUAAAAGUAUUUAAAAAAACAAAAACAUUAUUACCACCAUAUUGUUUCAAUCUCAAUCUAUUCUUGAAAAAAGUCACGUUCUCCAAAGUAAGUAAUUAUCUUUUUCAGUGAGGCCUAUUUUAAUAGUUAAAUGCGCCACCUGGGGAUAUACUCACGUAUCAAUUCACUUAUUUGUCAUUAAUUCAGGUUUAAACCUGACUAUUUUUUUAAUGUGCUUUUACUUAAUCUCUUUAUUUAAUCAACUUUCUUUUUGUAUUUUAUCAGUCUUCUUCAUCCAAAAACUGCACUCUUUUCAAAGCUGUCUCUUAUUAAACUAGCCAAACGUUAUCUCAUUAUCACUUAACCAAUAAUUAUUAAUGGGGAAUUUAUUGCUUAUCACACUUAAUAAGUUGGUUCUAGUACCACUGAUUCUUGCUGGCUAUUUAAAUAUUUAUUUUAAGAUUAUCCUAUGAUCUCACUAAAACUCACUUUAUAAAUCACAAGCUUCUUCUACAUUAGAUUCUCGAACCACACUUCUCACUACUACUUUAAAGCUAACUGAAAUUCUUUAGAUUAGAAAUAGUUCUUGAGCUAAUAUUUUUCCUAUCUCUGCGAAAAACUGAUUUUCCUUUAGAAUAUCCUGGAUUUAGGCAUGUAUGGAAUCUUUACUUGCCUCCAAAUUGAUCACCAUAUCAUAUCACUUCAUUACAUUAUUGACAUAUUAAGAUGCCACAUCUGAUUGAGCUUAAGCAAACAGAGAAACUUCAUAUGCACAUCAUAACUAGCUGUAUAUUCUUCCCUUGGAAUGAAGUAUAAAAUUGCAUUGUUGUUGAUUGCAUUUGAAUGAAUUGAUCACAAAGCUGGUGGUUUUUGAAGAAAACUAGAGAAAUCUCAGUCUGCUUAUAUCAGUCAAUAUGUAAACAUAGAUUUAAAAAAAUUAAUUUCGAGCAAGUAACAUUUUUUUUUUACUUUUAAUGCAUUAAACUCUGUUACCUGUUCCACAUGUGAGACAUUAAAAAAUGUCUUAUACAAAGAACUAGUGCUAACUACUAGAUUUUUAAGUACAGAAAGUAAAUAAUAGUAUUGGUCUUGGUCUAAAGAUACUUAUCAUUUAGUUUAAAGAAAAAGCUCAGCUAUUUUAUAAUUUCCUUAAACCAUCUAACUUCAUCCUGUGGAAAUGACAGAAUCAUGUUUCUUAAUUAACUUUGCUGUUUUACAAGAACUGCUGACUCUAUAUAUAUAAUGUUGCCAAUCUUAAACAAACCUGCAAACUUAGUUAAUAAAAUAAUUUUUUUUUAAUUAUAUUCAUCACCCCAAGGUCAACGAAUCCACUACAGUCAUGGGGGCUACUCUUUUUUUCUUUGUCUUCAUUUUCUCUUAUUUUCUUUUAUCUUUUUAUUCUGCUUUUAUCUCCUUUUAUUUGAACCUUCAAAAAUUGAAUCAACUACAAUAAAGUAAUCAAUUAACCGUAAGCUUACUCAAGUAAUCAAUUAACUAAUUUAGGCUACACUAAAGUAAAUCAAUUAACCUUAAUUUACACUUAAGUAAUCAAUUAACCAUAAGCUGCACUAAAGUAACCAAUUAACCUUAAUCUACACUAAAGUAAUCAAUUAACCAUAAGCUACACUAAAGUAAUCUAUUAACCUUAAGCUUCACUAAAAUAAUCAAUCAGGAUUCCCACUAUUAGGACUAAGGCUGAAAUUAAGAAUUUUAAGGAGAUUUAAGGAGAUAUUUUUCUAAUAUUUAAGGAGAUUUGGUCACAAACAACAUUUUUUUGAAAGAAAAAGUAAGGAUAAUUAAAGGGACU